rnacentral:rRNA from 1 species
GACGAACGCUGGCGGCGUGCUUAACACAUGCAAGUCGAACGGUAAGGCCCUUCGGGGUACACGAGUGGCGAACGGGUGAGUAACACGUGGGUGAUCUGCCAUGCACUUCGGGAUAAGCCUGGGAAACUGGGUCUAAUACCGGAUAGGACCACUGCCUGCAUGGGUGGUGGUGGAAAGCUUUUGCGGUGUGGGAUGGGCCCGCGGCCUAUCAGCUUGUUGGUGGGGUGAUGGCCUACCAAGGCGACGACGGGUAGCCGGCCUGGGAGGGUGACCGGACACACGAGGACUGAGAUACGGCCCAGACGCCUACGGGAGGCAGCAGUGGGGAAUAUUGCACAAUGGGCGCAAGCCUGAUGCAGCGACGCCGCGUGAGGGAUGACGGCCUUCGGGUUGUAAACCUCUUUCAGCACCGACGAAGCGCAAGUGACGGUAGGUGCAGAAGAAGGACCGGCCAACUACGUGCCAGCCGCCGCCGUAA